GACGAACGCUGGCGGCGUGCCUAAUACAUGCAAGUCGAACGCAGUGGGGACGGGUGAGUAACACGUGGGUAACCUCCCGUCAGAGGGGAUAACACUUGGAAAAUGGCGCUAAACCGAUAUUGAUUGAUGGACCCGCGGUGCAUAAGCUAGUUGGUGAGGUAACGGCCCACCAAGGCCACGAUGAAUAGCCGGUCUGAGAGGGUGUUCAGCCACACUGGGACUGAGACACGGCCCAGACUCCUACGGGAGGCAGCAGUAGGGAAUCUUCGGCAAUGGGCGAAAGCCUGACCCAGCAACGCCGCGUGAGUGAAGAAGGUUUUCGGAUCGUAAAGCACUGUUGUUAGAGAAGCGUUACCUAACCAGAAAGCAACGGCUAACUCCGUGCCAGCAGCCGCGGUAAUAC
rnacentral:rRNA from 1 species